ACGCUAGCUACAGGCUUAACACAUGCAAGUCGAGGGGCAGCAUGGAAGAAGCUUGCUUCUUCUGAUGGCGACCGGCGCACGGGUGCGUAACGCGUAUCAAACCUGCCUCAUACUCGGGGAUAGCCUUGCGAAAGUAAGACUAAUACCCGAUGUUGUUAUGUUACCGCAUGGUGAUAUAACCAAAGAUUUAUCGGUAUGAGAUGGUGAUGCGUCCGAUUAGGUAGUAGGCGGGGUAACGGCCCACCUAGCCUUCGAUCGGUAGGGGUUCUGAGAGGAAGGUCCCCCACACUGGAACUGAGACACGGUCCAGACUCCUACGGGAGGCAGCAGUGAGGAAUAUUGGUCAAUGGACGAAAGUCUGAACCAGCCAAGUAGCGUGCAGGAUGACGGCCCUCCGGGUUGUAAACUGCUUUUAGUUGGGAAUAAAAAGAGGGACGUGUCCCUCAUUGUAUGUACCUUCAGAAAAAGGACCGGCUAAUUCCGUGCCAGCAGCCGCGGUAAUACGGAAGGUCCAGGCGUUAUCCGGAUUUAUUGGGUUUAAAGGGAGCGUAGGCGGAUUAUUAAGUCAGUGGUGAAAGACGGUGGCUCAACCAUCGUUAGCCAUUGAAACUGGUAGUCUUGAGUGCAGACAGGGAUGCUGGAACUCGUGGUGUAGCGGUGAAAUGCUUAGAUAUCACGAUGAACUCCGAUCGCGAAGGCAGGUGUCCGGGCUGCAACUGACGCUGAGGCUCGAAAGUGUGGGUAUCAAACAGGAUUAGAUACCCUGGUAGUCCACACAGUAAACGAUGUAUACUCGCGGUUUGCGAUACAGUGUAAGCCGCCAAGCGAAAGCAUUAAGUAUACCACCUGGGGAGUACGCCGGCAACGGUGAAACUCAAAGGAAUUGACGGGGGCCCGCACAAGCGGAGGAACAUGUGGUUU
rnacentral:rRNA from 1 species